rnacentral:rRNA from 1 species
GGAUGUCGACUUGGAGGUUGUGCCCUUGAGGCGUGGCUUCCGGAGCUAACGCGUUAAGUCGACCGCCUGGGGAGUACGGCCGCAAGGUUAAAACUCAAAUGAAUUGACGGGGGCCCGCACAAGCGGUGGAGCAUGUGGUUUAAUUCGAUGCAACGCGAAGAACCUUACCUACUCUUGACAUCCAGAGAACUUAGCAGAGAUGCUUUGGUGCCUUCGGGAACUCUGAGACAGGUGCUGCAUGGCUGUCGUCAGCUCGUGUUGUGAAAUGUUGGGUUAAGUCCCGCAACGAGCGCAACCCUUAUCCUUUGUUGCCAGCGGUUAGGCCGGGAACUCAAAGGAGACUGCCAGUGAUAAACUGGAGGAAGGUGGGGAUGACGUCAAGUCAUCAUGGCCCUUACGAGUAGGGCUACACACGUGCUACAAUGGCGCAUACAAAGAGAAGCGACCUCGCGAGAGCAAGCGGACCUCAUAAAGUGCGUCGUAGUCCGGAUUGGAGUCUGCAACUCGACUCCAUGAAGUCGGAAUCGCUAGUAAUCGUGGAUCAGAAUGCCACGGUGAAUACGUUCCCGGGCCUUGUACACACCGCCCGUCACACCAUGGGAGUGGGUUGCAAAAGAAGUAGGUAGCUUAACCUUCGGGAGGGCGCUUACCACUUUGUGAUUCAUGACUGGGGUGAAGUCGUAACAAGGGUAACCGUCGAGUUUGCUCCCCAGGGUUUCGCA